UAACACAUGCAAGUCGAACGAUGAAGCUGGAGCUUGCUCCAGUGGAUUAGUGGCGAACGGGUGAGUAACACGUGAGAAAUCUGCCCUUGACUCUGGGAUAACUGCGGGAAACUGUAGCUAAUACCGGAUACUUUCCGAGGUGGGCAUCCACUUCGGAAGAAAGAAUUUCGGUCAAGGAUGAUCUCGCGGCCUAUCAUCUUGUUGGUGAGGUAACGGCUCACCAAGGCGACGACGGGUAGCCGGCCUGAGAGGGUGACCGGCCACACUGGGACUGAGACACGGCCCAGACUCCUACGGGAGGCAGCAGUGGGGAAUAUUGCACAAUGGGCGCAAGCCUGAUGCAGCAACGCCGCGUGAGGGAUGAAGGCCUUCGGGUUGUAAACCUCUUUUAGCAGGGAAGAAGCGAAAGUGACGGUACCUGCAGAAAAAGCACCGGCUAACUACGUGCCAGCAGCCGCGGUAAUACGUAGGGUGCAAGCGUUGUCCGGAAUUAUUGGGCGUAAAGAGCUCGUAGGCGGCUUGUCACGUCUGCUGUGAAAAUCCAAGGCUCAACCUUGGUCUUGCAGUGGGUACGGGCAAGCUAGAGUGCGGUAGG
rnacentral:rRNA from 1 species